rnacentral:rRNA from 1 species
UACGGGGGGUGCGAGCGUUGUCCGGAAUCACUGGGCGUAAAGGGUGCGUAGGUGGUUCGUUAAGUCCGUUGUGAAAGCCCCGAGCUCAACUUGGGAAUUGCAGUGGAUACUGGCGAGCUAGAGUGCGGUAGAGGAAGGUGGAAUUCCCGGUGUAGCGGUGAAAUGCGCAGAUAUCGGGAGGAACACCAAUUGCGAAGGCAGCUCGCUGGGACGGUACUGACGCUGAGGCGCGAAAGCCAGGGGAGCAACGGG